CCUACGGGUGGCAGCAGUGAGGAAUAUUGGUCAAUGGCCGUAAGGCUGAACCAGCCAAGUCGCGUGAAGGAUGAAGGCCCUAUGGUUUGUAAGCUUCGUUUAUAGGGGAAUAAAGGUAUCCACGUGUGGAUGUUUGCAUGUACCAUAUGAAUAAGCAUCGGCUAACUCCGUGCCGGCAGCCGCGGUAAUACGGAGGAUGCGAGCGUUAUCCGGAUUUAUUGGGUUUAAAGGGUGCGUAGGUGGGUUUUUAAGUCAGUGGUGAAAUUUUGUGGCUCAACCGUAAAAUUGCCGUUGAAACUGGAAGACUUGAGUGUAGUUGAGGUAGGCGGAAUGCGUGGUGUAGCGGUGAAAUGCAUAGAUAUCACGAAGAACUCCGAUUGCGAAGGCAGCUUACUAAGCUAUAACUGACACUGAAGCACGAAAGCGUGGGGAUCAAACAGGAUUAGAUACCCUGGUAGUC
rnacentral:rRNA from 1 species